GUUCUUCAUUUAGAACUCUCUUGAUCAUGCCUCAAAUGCCAUAAUAGAGAAAAUUUUGUAAGANNNNNNNNNNNNNNNNNNNNNNNNNNNNNNNNNNNNNNNNNNNAAUGCCAUAAUAGAGAAAAUUUUGUAAGAGAUUAGUGAGUCAUAUAAACACAUGUCACAAGAGUAUACUAAUUAAAGUAUGAAGCUGAGUAAGAAUUAACCUAGAUAUUUAUACAAGUUCAAAAUUCCUAGCCAAUAUUUUUUUUCAACUUUUUUUUCAUUGUUCAUUCUAAACUAGACCUAUUAGGUGAUCUUAAUCAUUCCUAAUUCCAACCCGUUCCUCUCAAAGUUUUCUCUACUCAGUGCUUUAGUGAAGGUGUCAGCAAUGUGUUUAUCAGUAGCACAAAAUUCUACAGAGAUCAAUCCUUUAUCACAUUUAUCUCUCAAGAAGUGGUGUCUAACAUCUAUGUGCUUAGUAAUGUAAAGAGAAAGGGGGGCCAUGAAAGAUCAAAUUGGAAAGAGUGAAGAUGAUAAGCGUGGGAUGUACCGAAAGAAGGCGGAAAAGAAUCUCUCAACAUGGAUGUGUGCACUAGGUCGGCCGUGCCAAUGAGAUCUUGACUUUGAUUGAAACUUCGACUAGAUAAAUCACAAAAGUUUCCUUCACCUCUUGCUUUUUAUUUGUGUGUCAUAGGGACAUGCCACACUUUAAAGUGUGAGGUGGAGAAUGUAUAUAUGUAUAUGUGAGUUUGUUGUUGCUUCUUUUUAUUGAAAAAAACAAGUUUGACUUUUCCCGACGAUAGAUUUCCUCGGCUAUCUUCUAUAGGGAUUAAAGUCGAAGAAUUUUUUUUAUCUUUUUGAGGUAGUGUAAUAAUUCCCCCAUGGUGCUUCUUUGUGCCGCGGUUCUUUUUCAAGAAUUAUGUUUGAACCAAAUGUAGUUAAAUAUUUCUUUUAUUAAAAAUAAUGAAGUCUUGUGCCUUGUAUUAAAUUGAGAUGAAUUUCCUUGAUAGUAGUGAGUGCAUUAGAUAUGACGCCUAGGCUCACUUCUUGAUUCGUGGAUAGGUACCUUAAGUUGUUUGAUAGUGACUCUAUUUAAUUGCUAUGACUAGAGGUCAGGAUAGAUCUAAUCCUAAGUAAGUUAUGUGACAAUGUAUGUAUGAGGUUUUGUGAUAUUAUGUGCAUGUCGAUUGAUGUCUAGAACUUGUCCCAUAUGUUUUCAAAGAGAAAUAGUAGUUUUGUUCAGUCUCGGAAGUGAUAUAGGCAUUUCAUUAUUGAAUCAAAUACAUGCUUUUACUGACCUAAUGAAUGUGUGUCUUCGUUGGCCUCAUUGAGCUUGUAAUCCUUUUUUUGGCAACCACACUACAAGCUUGACCCCUUGUUUGAAUUGCCUAUCUAUUUGAACCUUUUAGCUCUCAUGAGAACUUGAAAUUGUUAUGAAGCCUGUGAAAGUGAAAGUUGAGGCAUGGCCGGGUUUUAGUGAAACUAUAGAAAAAGGAUACAAGUGACCUAUUUGAAAAAUUGUAAGUGCCACUUGUAGAGAAUUGAAAAGAAAGAGUUUGACUGAAUGAAAAAAAAAUCAGAACUUUGAAAAUAAAGAAAAGAAUGGAUUCUGAACUAGUGGUAUUUCACAUCGUAUUUGUUCUUAAAUAUAUGGGGAGCUUGAUGCUAUUAUAAAUGAGGUUGGGGUUUGGUUCAACAAAAGUAUGGGGUUUGAAUUGUUAAUUGUAUAUGUAUUAAAGUUCUUAGGUAGGUGUAGUCACUAUAUCCAAAUCUAUCAUACCCUAUCCCACAUCUUGCAUUACAACCAAGUAAAGUCCUACUUGAUCCUUGACUGAUUGAGCUCAAUUAGUAGAGUAUUAUAUUACGGGCAAGCCUACGAUACAUCUUCUGUGGAAUAUGAAUCCUAAUUCUGAGAUAGAGUGAACUCUUUCUAUCUCGAGUUCCUAAUUUUUCUUGAAAUUAUCAUGUGUGAAACGACUAUCUAUUGUUUGUGUGAAGGCACAUGAUUUGCAAAUGUAAGGUGAAUUCUUUGAUCACUAUGUUAGAGUAAGUGAUCACGUUGUAAAAGAUACGUGGUGCUACUGAGUUGAGUCUUGAGGCGAGGAUGGUAUGAUAUGGUGCUUAGUCUAUUUUAAAUAUUCUUAGCAUGAUGCGUUAGGGAAGUUAUCUGAUAAUAAGGUCAUCUCUAUGUGAAGUGCAAUUUGAUUGCUUAAGGACGAGCAAUGGUUAAAGUGUGGGUGCUGGUGGUAGUAUAGAAACUCGUAUUUUAGUUGGAAUUUGCACUCCAAUUACAGUAUAUUAAUUAUGUUUGAGCUUAAAUUUUAGUAUAUUGUAGUUACUAUGUAUUAUAUGCCUUGUAGGAAGUGGUUUCGAGCUAUUAAGAUGAUUUGGAGCUUAUUUGAACAAGUUGGAGCUUUG
rnacentral:lncRNA from 1 species